rnacentral:lncRNA from 1 species
CAGAAUUAGAAGAACAAGGGAAAGCCAUGGUCAAUUAUAGGACUCAAAAUGUAUAAGAUCAUAUAAUAGUGAUGAUCAAUUAAGUGAAUCUGCAUACACAAUAAUAGAUGUUGUGUGUACGUGUGUGUAUCAAGAGUGACAUAUUCUGGCCAAAGUUUAUAUGAAUUUAUUUAUUUAUUUUAGCGUUCUGUGUUCAUGGAUAACUUGGGCUUGCUCAACUUACUUCUGUCACUGAGAGUCCCAGGUCUGCCCUCAUUCCAGACUCAGCAGCUGAUGAAUAUCCAACCUGAAAACAACAAUCAAUCAAUCUAUUGCAGUCAAUGAAAAACUAAUAUUUUGACUAGUGGCUUGUGAUGAAAGUGAUUUCACUCAAAACUGCUCCUGAAAGCCUCCUAUCUUCAAGCAUUUAGAGAUUAAUCUUGCAAGAAAAAUGUAUUGACUUGCUCUGACAGCAAAAAAAACAGCAAUGGAUCUUACAGCACAGCCAUAAGUAAAUGAGCCGCAUAUGGCCACCAAGGUGCUGAAAACAACAGCAGGUGUAGUAGAAAAAUCACUUUCAGACAUGCCCCCGCCAUUACCAAUUUCAUUGGUGAUCAUAGGCGUUGGCUCAAGAAGUGGAGGAUUCGGAAUUAGUCCUUCCUCCAAGCUUUCUGAUGUCUCCAUCAUUAUUUUUCUUGAGCGAAAGAGGGGCAAUGGAAAAAAAGAAGCAUUCGACAACUAUGAAAUAAGAAAUUGGAAUGACAGCUGCAGAAGAAAUCUUUAUAAGCAUUUGAAUUUUUAGUAUAUAUUAUAAUAGAUUAUUUUUUUUUUAUGAUUAGGAUAGUCCACCCGUUUCAUGUAUUUGAUGAUGAAAAUUUUGAUUAAUGCUUAUCUCUAUUCUCUAAAGUCACCAACUAACAACAUAUAUGUUAAUGUUAAACAUAUUGACAUAAGAUCCUAUUCCGUUGGCUUAAAGUAACUGUUGAUUGGUAAUUGAUAAUUGAGCUGCAUUUCAAAACAAGAAUGAAACUUUGAAACAAUCCAAUUUGCUCAAGUUGGUAAGCCACCAUAAUACACUAUUCCACUGUUUGCUGAAAGUGAAAAACAUUUGACAAAUACACACCAUUUAACAUCAAAGUACUGGACCUGUCAUCUAAGCUUACCUAAUACCAAUCACAUGAUUGUAGGUAGGAUAGACAGUUAAAAAUCAAUAAAAAAACUCAAUUUUAUGGUAAUCUACUCAUUUCUUCUUCACAUUUAAGAUCAAGAAACAAAAAAAAGUAACUAGCAUGCAUGAUAACGGUAUGCUACUUACAGAACAGCCAUGAGCAAAUGAACCACAUAUGGCUACCAAGGUGCUAAGAACAACAACGGGUGUAGCUGAAGAAUUGUCACUCUCCGGCAAGCCACUGCGCUCACCAACUUCAUUUGUAAUUUUUAUAGGAUUUGGCUGAGCAAGUGAAGACUUUGCUAUUAGUCCCUCCUCCAAGCUUUCUGGAUUCUCCAUGUCCUAAUUCUUUCACAGGAGCAAGUGAAAGAAAGAACACUGCAUUAUUGGAAUUAUAAAAAAAACAGUUGAAAUGAUGCGACUGCAUAGAGCCCACCUGACAAUUUUUUUUUUUUCAAUAUUAUGAUAAUAGAAAAAAACUUUAAUUUUAAUUUUACUAGGAACAAUAAGCCACUUGACUUUAGGCCCAAUGAUUAAGGUUAUUGUCAUCACAAUUUAAACCCCUCAAAAAAAAAUCAAGAGAUAAUUCUUUUCUUAAUUAUAUUGUAUAAUUGAGUAUAUGGAAAGAAAAUUUACUCUUUAUAAAAUACUAUUUUCAGUAAUUAUCUGAGUCUCACGAAAUAUGAAUUGUGCUCUAACUAAUAACCUCAAGUAAUUAAAAAAAUAUAUAUUGGCUUCCAGCUGAACCAUGUUAACUUACAAGAAUUAAUUAUCCGAAAUAGUUGGUAUUGACCAUUGGCAUGAAAUUAGGCGGGACAUUCAAUUCCUGCUGAAUCCGAAAUCAUGGAGGGCCUUGGUCUCUCUUUGGCUGCAGCAAGUACAUUUGCUCUCUUCCAGUCCCCCUUUUUUGUACGUUGAAAUGUGCACCGCGGCUGUUUCAGGCCCUGCCCAUGUGUUGUAAUCAAUAUAAAAGAGCAAGUACUGAUAAUUUUUCUUAUAUAUAUAUAUAUAUAUAUAUUGUCUCUAGGAACGCGGUCGAGUAAUUUUAAAAAAUACACUCAAGCUUUAUCUAUUCUCUUAUCUUUAAAAAAAAAUGAUAAAAAGAAGAAAUACUAAUUAGUGCGAGUUACAAUGCAGACAUGUUAAUAAACACCAUCCUAAAGCCAAACACUCAUCAUGUGGGUAGUAUCGAUUUUGUAUGGCUUCCCGUCCCACUCUUAUCUUAUGCAGAUUGGACAUAUAUCUUGAAUCAUUAGGCUUUUGAUUGCAACGUAUCAGUAUUUGAAAUAAAUAAAUAAUCAAUGCGGCGUCACUUUCCAUGCAAGCUGUGCAUGUGAAGAGAAAAAGUUUCAACAACAAUCAGUUUUCUGCUUGGUAAGAAAAUAAAAUAAAAAUCUUUGAGUUUCAAUGGUAUGGAAAUGACGGAAAACCCAAGGAAAGGCUAACUGUGAUUUCGGCCCGGUCCACUGGUUGGGCCUAGAUUAACUGACAACUGACGGGGCCCACCAUUUCCCACUAACUCGUGCGGCUAGGAAAAAGCCUCAAAAAUUUUGUUUUUUUUUAAAAUGAUCACUGGACCCUACAAAUUUAUCUUUGGUUUAUAUGACAACAAAGCAAUUGUCAGCGAUUAACAUUAGCCCGGGUGAUAAUACAAAAUAAUAAUAGUAAUAAUAAUAAUAUUUUAUUAAGUAAUAAGAAUAUAAAGUACACAAAUAAUAUUAAUCUAUUAUUAUUAAAAAAAUUUAACAGAUAUUAUAAUCCAGUACCGUUUUAAACUUAGUACAUUUUAGUCCAGUACAGUCUAAUCCGGGGCGUCACACCAAGCACAUCCUGUGAGGGGAGUUUACACUUGCAGUCCAACCAAACCAGGUUAUUAUUACACUUGCAGUGGAGUGAUUUUGAUUUAUCUCCCAGAAAGCUUUGUAAUUGAUGCUUGUAUUUCUUCAAGUGUUCGUCCCUUGGUCGCCGGCACCAGGAAUGUAACAAACGCAACACCUGCGGCGCAUAUGACCCAGAAUAUAGAAAAUGUUCCUGCCAGAGUAGCCAACACAGAAGACAGAGGAUUGCGAAAUGGAAAAUGUAUAAGCAUGGGGGAUUAUCGGAUACCUGUUUUGCUCCAUUCCAUCAUGAAAUGGAAUGUGAAUGUAACAGCCCAGUUACAAUUCUAAGACACUCCAAUUAUUCACGUUUAUAGUGUAGCUAAUGAACAUGUCUAAAUACACGCCAUCAAGAAAAGGAACUGAAAAAGAGAGAGAUAAAACAACACUAAAAACAUGAUGAUAAUAAUGGUACAUACAGAUCAACCAUAAGCAAAUGAACCACGUACGGCCACCAAAGCGCCGAGAACAACAGCAGGUGUGGCUGAAGAAUCACUUUCUUGCAUGCCACUGCCAUCACCAAUUUCAUCAGCAAGUGAAGAACUUGGAAUUAGUCUUUCCUCCAACUUCAACCUUUCUUCUGGUCUCUCCAUGAUGAUUAAUUUCUUCAAGGGAAAGCAAGGCAAAUGAACGAAGCAAGCGCAUGACAACUACUGCAACUGCCCGAAAAAAUUAUUUAUGCCCUUUUGCGACAGGCAGGAAAUCGUGGCAAUGCUUUGACUUGCCAACAUGGCCCGUGAGUGCUCUGAUAGACGUACCCUUGAAUAAAGGCCAAUUCACAGGUCAUGCACUAGAGUACUAAACUGGGUCACACUAAAGACGUCAAAUAUAUUAGGAGAUGCAGAGGAUUCGAGUCGCACUAAAGCAGUGAAAGUGAAAUAUAUUAUGAGUUAUUGAGAACUUCGAAGCAGGUGACCACUCUCACAAAGGUUGGCGUCCAUUUUCUUGACCUGAUCCUUUUAACUUCUUAUUAUUUAUGUGUAUGUCUGGAUAAUUUCCAACUAAUUCCACAACAAAAUGAUAAUUAUCAUAAACUGAGAUGUUUCUGUAGCCAUGAUGCGCCAUACAUGCGCAACAAAUACUCAAUAAAUUAUCAAACUUAUUCUGCACAUUUUCCCACUCUUAUCGACUUUCUUCUUCUUCUCCCAGCUACUUUAUUCUUCAUCUUUCAAUCCUUGUCUCUCAACUUUUUAAGGUCUUAGCCAUUUUCUCAUUUUUGUAAUAAUUCAGCUCCAAGAUCAUAUACACCAUUUUAUUAAGGCAUUUAUAUGUGCAUGGUUUUGGACAAAUGUGGAGUUCUGUUAUAAAAUUUAUUAAUACUUUGUAAUUGAUACUUGAAUUUCUUCGAGUGUCGUCCCUUGGUCUCCGGCACCAGAAAUGCAACGAACAGGACAGCGGCAGCGCAAAUGACCCAGAAUAUAGAAAAUGUUCCUGCCAUAGCAGCCAACACAGACUUGUAAUUAGAGAGCAAGAUAAAGAGGAUUGAGAAGUGGAAAAUAGUACGAGCAUAUAUGGUGGGGGGUUUCAGGUGCCUGUUCUGCUCCAUUCCAUCGUGAAAUGGAAAGUGUAUGUAACUAUCCAAUUGCUGCAGUUGUGGAGUAAAAUCACCAGGCUUCCUGCUGAACCUUUGAUGUUUAUUGGAAAUAUCUGAAAAAUGGAAGUUCAAUGGCUUAUUUAUCGACUCCUGAUAAGACAUUCAUGAAAAGAAGUAGAGCUAGAUCAUGUAGUCAUAUACCUCAGCCAUUAUGACACUUGGUAGUCCCGCCAUGCCUAAUGCAAAAGCUAUGCUAAACCCCUGAUCAUAUAUUUUGCCAUAUGUUGCUCCAAUUAGGCAGACGAUACAAUUGGGAAAAAAAAUCUUUACAGAGAAAGAACACUUCGAUGUUAGCUCACAACAUUUAGAGACUAUUACCAUUAUGCCAACAUACACAAGGACUGGAGUAGCCUCAUUCCAAAGAUGGGUGUCCUGCACAUAAGUUUUUUAAGCAAUGAUCAUUAAUAUGUCAAACAGAAUUGAGAACUAGUGAAGAAGUGCAUAAAUUUUGUAAUAGAAGAACCUGCAGGCCAAAUGCCAAAGCUAUAAUAGUGAGACUUAAGCCCAUCCAGAUAGUAGAAGCCUGCAAAAAUAUGAACAUUUAUAUAUCCUGAAUAACUAAUUUUUGGAUAAACUUAAUUCUCUUAUAUGUGCAAACCAAAAGAAGUGGUCUUCUACCAAAUCUAUCUGUCAGGAGUACGGACGCGCCAAUAGCCGGAAGCUGUAAAAGAAAUUGUAUGUUCCUGAGUAUUUCAAAUGGAAAAAUCUCACGUUUGAUUGAUGGUCAAUUACCUGAAUGAUAGCCAUUGAUAUACUCCCAAUGUCCGUCGAAAGAUCUGUUACAAACAAAAGAUUCAUACUGUCAUAUUCUUGGAUAUUCAGAAGUUCUAUGAAAUAGUACAAAAUGUUGUUUAUUUACCAGCUGCUGCAAUUAUGUAGCUAGCAUAAUAUGCAAUUGCAGCUGAUCCUACAAAUGGUUGCAUUACCAUUAAUCCAACUCCAACCUAAACCACUUAAAUAGGACAGAUGAUAUAUGACGAGAUUACAAAUAUAUAAAAAAAUAUAUAUAUACAACUAUUAAGGACUCACUGAGAGUGAAUAAGCAUAUCUCCGCUGAAACAGGUCAAAAAUCCCAGCUUUCGAGUCCUUCUCAAAUGUCUGCGUGCAAUCCUGUACAAUAUGGGAUGCUCAUUGGUUGUUUUGUGCAAGAGAUGUACAGCUGUUUCAUGUGUUUUGUAAUUACUGAGUAGUCAAAUAUUAGAGUUGGAAUUUUACUCUGAUGUCAGCAGAUUCCAUAGAAAUAUCUGCAGUCUUUCCCCUAAGGCACUGUAGAGUAGUUUCUAGCUCUUUUUCUUUACCUAUCUUUGCCUGCAAAGAGAAAUACACAUUUAACUUUAAUACGCUCUUAGUUCACAAGCAUAGUAGCAAGAACUUAAACAAAAAGCUAGGGACUCCAGUCUCUGUUUUUUGCAAAAUUAAAUUCCACCAGGAAAAAAGUUUAUGGACAUUUGACUUGGACUAACCAGCCAUCUUGGUGACUCUGGAAUGAAGAACAAACCAACAACUUGCAACAGACAUGGAACAGCAGCUGAAAAUUAAAUGAAAAAGAAACAUCAGAAAUCUUGAAGGGCUUAGCAAUUAAGCAAAUGAAAUCAAAAGCAGGGCAAGCUGAAGCUACCAAUUAGAGCCAGGGCUCGCCAGGAAACAAUAGUACCCACCAAAUACAUUACUGACAUACCAGACACAAUCAAGAACUGCAGAAUUGAUGACAAAGUAAACACUCAUUAAAUAUAAGUUAGACAAGUAAUAUAAUCAUUAUAAUUAACAUAUAUAUACCUGACUAGUAGCUGUAAAUGCUCCCCGGAUGUUUUUGGGUGUUAUUUCCGCAAUAUAUAUAGGUAUCUGUCUUGGAACAAUGAUGCAAAUGCUGUGACAUGCCUCACAUGUGAAUUAAGCAACCAUGAAAUUGUUCAUGUCACUUACCACAUAAGCAAUAAGCGCAAGUCCAAUCCCAAUAGAACAGCGUCCAAGAUAUAGGGACCAAGCAUCCCAUCAACAAGUACACAAGUAAAUUAUAGCCUAUUGACAUACCAUUUUAAUAGUAGAUAGAGGUAGACAUGCAACUUGAACCCCGAAAAGGACAAUUGAAUUCCAAAUAAGAUUCUAAGUAUGGUUUUCAUGCAGGCAGCCAAAUCAAGCAUGACUGUGAUGAAAAAGAGAAGCUAAAGGAAAAAGACCUUUGAGAAUGCAAUUGCCAGCCACCCAACUAUACAGAAUAACUCAGAUAGCCACAUUGCCUGUUGCACUUGCAGUUAAUUAAAUACUAUUGACAACAGUAAAAGAAAUUUCAUACUAUUCAUUGAGACAUAAAGCGGACGAUUGAAUGACUUACACCUCUUCGACCAGUGGGGUCUGCUAUUUUCCCAUUUACUAGUGAACCUAUUAUUCCUCCAAAUGUCAAUACUGAACCAAAAACUGAGUACUGCAGAAUGAGAAGAAUAAGGGAAAGCCAUGGUCAAUAAUAGGACUCAAAAUGUAUAAGAUCAUAUAAUAGUAAUGAUCAGUUAAGUGAAUCUGCAUACAUAAUAGUAGAUGUUGUCUGUACACGUGUGUAUCAAAAGUGACAUAUUCUGGCCAAUGUUUAUAUGAAUUUAUUUGUUUAUUUUAACGUUCUGUGUUCAUGGAUAACUUGGGCUUCGUCAACUUACUUCUGUCACUGAAAGUCCCAGGUCUGCCCUCAUUCCAGACUCAGCAGGUGAUGAAUAUCCAACCUGAAAACAAUAAUCAAUCAAUCUAUUGCAGUCAAUGAAAAGCUAAAAUUUUGACUAGUAGCUUAAUAUGAAAGUGAUUUCACUCAAAACUGCUUCCUGAAUGCCCGCUAUCUUCAAGCAUUUAGAGACUAAUCUUGCAAGAAAAUUGUAUUCAUUUACUCUCACAGCAACAAAACAACAAUGGAUCUUACAGCACAGCCGUAAGUAAAUGAGCUGCAAAUGGCCACCAAGGUGCUGAAAACAACAGCAGGCGUAGUAGAAGGAUCACUUUCGUACAUGCCACUGCCAUUACCAAUUUCAUUGGUGAUCAUAGGCCUCUCAAGAAGUGGAGGAUUCGGAAUUAGUCCUUCCUCCAAGCUUUCUGAUGUCUCCAUGAUUAUUCUUCUUGAACGAAAGAGAGGCAAUGGAAAAAGAGAAGAGUUUGACAAUUAUGAAAUAAGAAAUUGGAAUGACAACUGCAGAAGAAAUCUUUAUACCCAUUUGAAUUUUUAGUAGAUAUUAUAAUAGAUUAUUUUUCUGAUUAGAAUAAUCCACCUGUCUCAUGCAUUUGAUGGUGAAAGUUUUAAUUAAUGCCAAUCUCUAAAGUCACCUACUAACAAGUAUUAUACUAACAUAUGUAUAUAAUCCACCUGUUUCGUGCAUUUGAUGGUGAAAGUUUUAAUUAAUGCCAAUCUCUAAAGUCACCUACUAACCAGUAUUAUACUAACAUAUGUACAUAAGAUCCUAUUCUGUUGUCUUAAAGUAACUAUUGAUUAAGCUGCCUUUCAAAACAAGAAUGAAACUUUGAAACAAUCCAAUUCGCUCAAGUUGGUGAGUCACCAUUAUACACUAAUCCAUUGUUUGCUGAAAAUGAAGAACAUUUGAUAAAUACACACCAUCUAACAUGAAAUUCCUGGACCAGUCAUGUAAGCUUACCUAAUACCAACCACAUGAUUGAGGUAGGAUAGAAAAUUAUAAAUCAAUUAAAAACUCAAUUUUACUCUAAUUUGCUCAUUUCUGCUUCACAUUUACGAUCAAGAAACAAAAAAAAGUAACUAGCGUGCGUGAUAACGGUAUGCUACUUACAGAACAGCCAUAAGCAAAUGAACCGCAAAUGGCUACCAAGGUGCUAAGAACAACAACGGGUGUAGCUGCUGAAGAAUUAUCACUCUCUGGGAAGCCACUGCGCUCACCAACUUCAUUUGUAACUAUUACAGGAUUUGACUGAGCAAGUGAAGACUUUGCUAUCAGUCCCUCCUCCAAGCUUUCUGGAUUCUCCAUGUCCUAUUUCUUUCACAGGAGCAAGUGAAAGAAACAAAUCUUUGUGUAGCCACUGCAUUACUGCACUAGUGAGUUUAAAAAAAAAAAAAAAGGUUGAAAUGAUGCAACUGAAUAGAGCGCACUUGACUUUUUCGUUUUUCAAAUAAAUAUUACGAUAAUAGAAAAAGCAUAUCUGUAAACUUUAAUUUUAGUGGGGCAAGUGUGCUAACUAUUGGAAUCUUGAGGGGUAAUUCUUUGCUCAAUUAUAUUAUAUAAUGGUUUUUGUUAUGUAAUGGAAUUUUGAGGGGUAAUUAUAUUACAUAUAUAAUUAUGUAACAGUAGUUAGAUUUUAUCUAAUGACGGUAAAAAUAAUAUAAUUUUAUUAUCUUAAAUUUUCAUAAUCGUUAGAGAAAAAUUUAACGGAUAUUAUAUAAUUAUGUAUAUUACAUAAUUAUAUAAAAUAAUAAUCUUCUUAUAUAAUUGAGUUUUCUCUUAUGAAAUACGUCUUAUUGUCUGAAUUUCAUGUAUUAUAAGUUGUACACUAAAUAACAAUCUCGUGUAAUUUAAAAAAAAAAAAAAAAUUGUGGCAAUAUUGGACAAUCUAAUAGAACAAAUAUUGGCUUCCAGCUGAACGAUGGUAUUGGGCAUUGACAUGAAAUCGGGCAGGAUAUUCAAUUCCUGCUGAAUACUAAAUGACUAGGCCCAUUGUUUUCCACUAACUGCACCCAUCGCUCUUUCAGCUUCUCGGGAAAAAGCCACGCACCGCUCGUGCGGUUAGGCAAAAGCCUCCAUUUUUUUUUUUUUUUUUCACUAACGAUCAUUGGACCCUACGAAUACAAAUUUAUCUUUGGUUUAUAUGACUUGGAAUCAAUAAUGUUUCAAAUUAUUUUACGGUGCGUAGAUUGUCAGUUCACUACGCGUACAAUAAUGUUUGAUUAUUAAUUUAUAGUCGGAAUAGUCAUCACUUGUUGAAUUUGGAAUCAAGCAAGACUUGGGCCUCUCCGCGGCAGCAGUAAGUGUUCUUCACUUUUAUGUACUCAGAAGCAGUGUAGUAUUAGUCAAAUUGUUCAUAAACGCUAAAAAUAUGCUGAAUAAUUAAAGGAAAAAAUAUAUAUACAUAGAUAUAAUUUUAUUAAUUAAUAAGAAUAGAAAAUACACAAAUAAUAUUAAUCUAUUGCUAUUAAAAUUUUUAAUAGAGAAUAUAAUCCAGUACCGUAUUAAACUUAAUACAUUUUAGUCCAAUACAGUCUAAUCCACUGCGUAGCACCAAGCACAUCCUAUGAGCAGAAUUUACUCCAGUGAUGUACAGCAGUCCAAUCAAACCAGGUUAUUAUUACACUUGCAGUAGAGUGAUGUUGAUUUACCGCCGAGAAAGCUUUGUAAUUGAUGCUUGUAUUUCUUCAAGUGUUCGUCCCUUGGUCUCCGGCACCAGGAAUGUAACAAACGCAACACCUGCGGCGCAUAUGACCCAGAAUAUAGAAAAUGUUCCUGCCAGAGCAGCCAACACAGGCUUGUAACUAGAGAGCAACACAGAAGAAAGAGGAUUGCGAAAUGGAAAAUGUAUAAGCAUCAGGGGUAUCAGGUACCUGUUUUGCUCCAUUCCAUCAUGAAAUGGAAUGUGAAUGUAAUGGUCCAAUUGAUGCAGUGGUGGAUGAAAAUCACCAGGCUUCCUGCUAAACCUUUCAUGUUUAUGGGAAAUAUCUGAAAAUGGAAGUUCAAUGGCUCAUGUAUCGACUCUGGUUGAGAUAUUCAUGAAAAGAUGUAGAGCUAGAUCACGUAGUCAUAUACCUCUGCCAUUACGACACCUGGUAAUCCUGACAAGCCUAUUGAGUAACCUACACUAAACCCCUGAUUGCAGAUUCAGUGUCAAUUAGUCACAUUUUGCUCCAUAUUGAUAGACAAAACAAUAAAAAAGAAUCUUUACAGCAAACCCUCUAAUGUAAGUAAGCUCUCAUAACAUACAGAGACAAGUUUCCCUUUUCUACAUCGAUUAUAUUACCAUUAUGCCAACGUACACCAGCACUGAAGUAACCUCAUUCCAACGAUGUGUGCCCUGCACAUAAAAAUUUUAAGCAAUAAUCAUAAAUAUGUCCAAACAGAAUUGCAAAUUAGAAUUGCAGAAGUGUAAAAAUUUUGUUCCAGAAGAACCUGCAAGCCGAAUGCCGUAGCUAUAAUAGCGAGACUUAAGCACAUCACAAUUGUAGAAGCCUGCAAAUAGAUGAAUUUGUAUAAGCAUAAAUUAGCCACAUAAAUUAGCCAACCUUCUGCAUUAAUAAUUUUGGGGUGAAUAUGUUUUUUUGAAAUGUUUACCAAAAGAAGUGGUCUUCUUCCAAAUCUAUCAGUCAGGAGCACCGAUGCACCAAUAACCGGAAGCUGUAAAACAAAUUGUAUGUUCCUGAGUAUUUCAAAUGGAAAAAUCCCAUGUUUGAUUGAUGGUCAAUUACCUGAAUGAUAGCCAAGGAUAUACUCCCAAUUUUUGUUGAAAAAUCUAUUACAAACAGAAGAUUCAUACUGUUAUUUCCUUUAAAAUCCAUGAGUUCUAUGAAGUAGCGCAAAAUGUUGUUGUUUACCUGCUUCUGAAAAUAUGUAGCUGGCAUAGUAUUGAAUUGCAGUUGCUCCUAACAAUGGUUGCAUUGCUGAUAAUCCAACUCCAACCUAAACCAAUUAAACAAUCUAAUAUAAAAAUCAUAGAACUGGCAAUUAACGAGAUCACAAAAGUAUUAAUACGAGUAUUAAAGACUCACUACGAGUGGAUAAGCAUAUUUUCGCUGAAAGAGGUAAAAAAUUCCAACUUUUGAGUCCAUCUCAAAGGUCUGUGUAUAUUCCUGUACAAUAAUAAUGGAAUGCUCAUUCCUUGUAUUGUGCCAUUGGUAUAAAGUUAUUUUCAUGUAUUUUCUUUUUAUUGGAUAGUCAAACAUUAGAGUUAAAAGUUUUACUCUGAUGUGAGCAGAUUCCAUUGAAAUAUCCGCAUUCUUUCCCCUAAGGCGCUGUAGAGUAGUUUCUAGCUCUUUUUCUCUACCAACCUUUGCCUGCAAAGAGAAUUACACAUUAACUUUAAUAUGCUCUUAAUUCACAAGCAUAGUAACAAGAGCUUAAACAAAAAGCUAGGGACUCCAGUUUCUGCUUUUUGCAAAAUUAAAUUCCACCAGGAAAAAAGUUUAUGGACUUGGACUAACCAGCCAUCUUGGAGACUCGGGAAUGAAGAACAAACCAAUAAUUUGCAACAGACAUGGAACAGCAGCUGAAAAUCAAAUAAAAAAGAAACAUCAGGAACUUAAAGGGUUAGCAAUUAAGCAAAUGAAAUCAAUUGAAUGGGAAGCAGAAGCUACCAAUUAGAGCCAAGGCUCGCCAGGAAACAACAGUACCCACUAAGUACAUUACUGAAAGACCAGAAGUAAGCAAGAACUGCAGAGUUGAUGACAAAGUAAAUGCUCAUUAAUAAUAAGUUAAACAAGCAAUGUAAUCAUCAUAAGUUACAUAGAUAUACCUGAAAAGCUGCUGUAAAUGCUCCCCGGAUGUUCUUCGGUGUUAUUUCUGCGAUAUAUACAGGUAUCUGUCUUGCAACAAUUAUGCAAAUGCUGUCAGAUGCCUUACACAUGAAUUCAGCAACCACGAAAUUGUUCACAUCACUUACCACAUAAGCCAUAAGUACAAGUCCAAUCCCAAGUGAAAAUCGUCCAAGAUAAAGUGACCAAGCAUGCUGUCAACAAGUACUGAAGUAAGUUACAGCCUAUCGACAUACCAUUUUACAAGUAGAUAUAGCUAGAUAUGCAACUUGAACCCAAAAGGAACAAUUUAAUUCCAAAUAAAAUUCUAAGUACAGUUUUCAUGUAGGCAGCCAACCAAACAUGACUGUGACGACACUGAGAAGCUAAAGGAAAAAAACCUUGGAGAAUGCUACUGCCAGCCACCCAACAAUACAGAAUAACUCCGAUAGCCACAUAGUCUGUUGCACUUGCAGUUAAUUGAAACACUAUUAAUAAAGGUAGAAGAAAAAUCAUACUAUUCAAAAUUUUGAAAAUUCAUACUAUCCAUUGAGACAUUAUGCAGAAGAUUGAAUGACUUACACGUCUUCGACCAACGAGGUCUGCUAUUUUCCCAUUUACUAAUGACCCUAUUAUUCCUCCGACUGUCAAUACAGAGCCAAAUACUGAAUACUGCAGAAUGAGAAGAAUAACGGAAAGAUAUGGUCAAUUUUAGGAAUCAAAAUAUAUAAGAUCAUAGAAUAGAAAUGAUCAAUUAAGUUAACCUGCAUAAACAUUGAUAGAUGUUGUGUGUGCGUGUGUGCAUGUGCCUGUGUGCAUCAAGAGUGACAAAUUCUUGCCAAAGUUUAUAUGAUUUUAUUUAGGGAAAAUAUCCACCGCCCACCAGAUUUUGUCCACUUUUUCAAAAAUACACAAAUCUUAAUUUUUUUAGCUGCACUCCACCUAAAGUAAGGUUUUCUUGCAUCCAUCCACCUCCGUUUGCACGCGGUUAAGAGAACUAACGGAAAAUUGAUCAAAUGACUAUUUUACCCCAAAUAUAAAACUAUAAUUUUGCCCUAAAUAAAUGCAAAAAAAAAAAAAAUUAAGAAAAUCCUGGGAGUGUGAAAUCACCACCAAGAUGCGGUCAAAUUUCUUCAAGGUCUCUUCCAGCCAAACGCAAGCUUCUAGAUCUAGAUGAUUUGUGGGCUAAUCGAGCAACAGAAUGGUUGGGUUAAUAAAGAGUGCACGCGCCAAUGCAAUCCUCAUUCUCCAACCACCAAAGAAAUCACGCGUUUUCUUAGCUUGCAUAGUCUUGUUAAAACCAAGACCGUCGCCUUCAGGUGCUGCUUGAAGUCCAUAAUGUCACCCUCCCACCGGGUAACAGCUUGAUUUUCACACACCCAUAUUUCAUGGGCUACCUGGUUUAUGAGCCUGAAAUCGUGGCUGACGAGAACCAUACCCCCAUCCCACUCAUUCAAUGCCUCAGCAAGCGAGUCGAUUGUCUCAAUAUCCAGAUGAUUAGUUGGUUCAUCCAAGAGACCUGCGCUUUUAUUUUGUUGUGUGUAAUAAAGUCAACGUUCUUACCUUUAUUUGCAAUUAGAUUGAUAUCACCAUUUUCUUCACAUUACAUUACAUCAUUACCAUGCCAAGAAAGAGCAAUAUCCCCAAAACCGUUUGCAACUCCUUCCAAUCACCCUCCUCAAACUCUGACAGCAAGCCCCACAGCCAUUAUUAUCCACCGCUUUCACUCCACCAUAAACAUUUCAGUAGCAAUCUCCAUCGAAAUUUCAACAGGCAACACCAUUUUCCUAGAUUCCCUAGUCCAACAAUAUCUCCUUUUCCUUUCUUCACUAUGCACCCAACCUCUCACCAAUCUCCUUCAGUUUCUUUGUCGCCAAUAGCUUGAUCUCAAUCGAUGAUCGUGCCACCAGCGGCUCGAGCCUGAAGAUCGACCAUCCAUCACCGACCUCCUGUGGCUAGCUACGACUUCUUCAGUUAUUAGAUUGAGUUUGGGAUAAGGUUUCGGCCAGCCACUUUUUUUUUUUUUGCAUUUAUUUAGGGCAAAAUUAUAGUUUUAUAUUUGGGGUAAAAUAGUCAUUUGAUCAAUUUUCCGUUAGUUCUCUUAACCGCGUGCAAACGGAGGUGGAUGGAUGCAAGAAAACCUUACUUUAGGUGGAGUGCAGCUAAAAAAAUUAGGAUUUGUGUAUUUUUAAAAAAGUGGAUAAAAUCAGGUGGACGGUGGAUAUUUUCCCUUUUAUUUAUUUAUUUCUAGAUUCUGCAUUCAUGGACAACUUGGGCUUGGUCAACUUACUUGUGUCACAGACAGUCGCAGGUCUGCCCUCAUUCCAGACUCAGCAGGUGAUGAAUAUCCAA